rnacentral:pre_miRNA from 1 species
AGUGGGAUAGCUAGGUGAAAUGGUGGCUCCAUCCCAAGUUUUCUAAGGAAUCUCCAUACUGCUUUCCAGAGUAGAUGUACCAAUUUACAAUCCCACCAGUAAU